rnacentral:misc_RNA from 1 species
GAUGAAGAACGUAGCGAAAUGCGAUACUUGGUGUGAAUUGCAGAAUCCCGUGAACCAUCGAGUCUUUGAACGCAAGUUGCGCCCGAAGCCGUCAGGCCGAGGGCACGCCUGCCUGGGCGUCACACGCCGUUGCCCCCCCGCGCCCCGCACCCAACGCUUUGGGAGCGACCGCGGGGCGGGCUGAUGAUGGGCUCCCGUGCGCUCCGCCGCGCGGUUGGCCCAAAUACCGAGUCCCCGGCGACGUGCGCCACGACGAUCGGUGGUUGAGAGACCUCUGUCGCAAGUCGUGCGCGCCCGUCGCGUCACGCGGGCUCGCAUAGCGCCUCGCGCCGCACCCGGUGCGGAGCUUUCAACGCGACCCCAGGUCAGGCGGGGUUACCCGCUGAAUUUAAGCAUAUCAAUAAGCGGAGGA